rnacentral:rRNA from 1 species
CCUACGGGCGGCUGCAGUGGGGAAUAUUGCACAAUGGGCGAAAGCCUGAUGCAGCAACGCCGCGUGAGCGAUGAAGGCCUUCGGGUCGUAAAGCUCUGUCGCAUGGGAAGAUAAUGACGGUACCAUGUGAGGAAGCCCCGGCUAACUACGUGCCAGCAGCCGCGGUAAUACGUAGGGGGCAAGCGUUAUCCGGAAUUACUGGGCGUAAAGGGUGCGUAGGUGGUCUGCCAAGUUAGGGGUCAAAGGCAACGGCUCAACCGUUGUUCGCCCCUAAAACUGGCGGACUUGAGUUCUGGAGGGGAAAGCGGAAUUCCUAGUGUAGCGGUGAAAUGCGUAGAUAUUAGGAGGAACACCAGUGGCGAAGGCGGAUUUCUGGACAGAUACUGACACUGAGGCACGAAAGCGUGGGGAGCAAACAGGAUUAGAUACCCUGGUAGUC